AUGCUUUUGUUUUCACGAGUUUUAUGUUUUUACUCCAGCUCCACAGAAACAGAAGAGCUAGUGCAUUUGUUUAAUGUCCCCAUUUUCCAUUCAUUUUCCUUUCAGACCUCACCUUGCUCUAGAAUACAGCGGCAAGGUAUGUACAUCCCAUCUUUCUCUUUGCUCCCUCUCCAGUCGUUAGAGCAAAUUCACAUUUCAUGGUGCUCCGGUGUAGACUUGAAAUUCUCUUGUCUCUGCAUCUUUCAGGCUACAAAGAUCCACCAGAGGGCCUUUGGUAAUGACCACCCGAUCACAGCCAGAAGCCUCGAGCUAAUGGCCACUGUCUAUGCUGAGAUUGGCAAGACUGAAUAUUCAGACUCCCUGGGUCAGUGUGUGUCUGCACUGUCCAAACGCUUAGCUGCUGCGGAAUCCAUCAGAGACUCAACCGUCAACUGUCUUCCUCAAUCCCACCGGGAGAAACACUCAGAGGUCCGCCACAGGAAGGACAUCCACCACCAACAGGAGGACACACCAAAAGCCAAGGUAACAAAUGGCAAAGUCCCCACCUCCAUUCUUAAGAGGCCGAGCCCAAACUACGGGUCAGACGCAGAACUGAACCACAGGAGGAAAGGCGAACGGAGGGUUCGAUUCCGAGAGCCAGAGACCACAGUACAUGAUAUCCCAUACUGUGACUGUUUAGGUGCCUACGAGACGACACCGUCCCGCCCCCACCUCGCCCUCUUCACUUGCCUCUUCCUGCUGAUGUCAUUCCUGGGUGUGGCCAUGUACUGCACAGACCGCCGGCGCCCACAGCGAGUGUGUGAGGAGCUGGAGGCCGCUUUGGCCGUCUACCUGCUGCACAUGAAACAGCUUCUGUGGGGUUGCUGGAUAUGGUUGACCAUGCAAUGA
rnacentral:lncRNA from 1 species